UAAACCAGUGGUGAUGGCUGGCGGCAUAUUAGUCAUAGAUGAUGAGUGAAUAGAUGCUGGAAACUGAGAUUAGU